AGAGCGAACGCUGGCGGCAGGCUUAACACAUGCAAGUCGAGCGGGCGUAGCAAUACGUCAGCGGCAGACGGGUGAGUAACGCGUGGGAACGUACCUUUUGGUUCGGAACAACACAGGGAAACUUGUGCUAAUACCGGAUAAGCCCUUACGGGGAAAGAUUUAUCGCCGAAAGAUCGGCCCGCGUCUGAUUAGCUAGUUGGUGAGGUAACGGCUCACCAAGGCGACGAUCAGUAGCUGGUCUGAGAGGAUGAUCAGCCACAUUGGGACUGAGACACGGCCCAAACUCCUACGGGAGGCAGCAGUGGGGAAUAUUGGACAAUGGGCGCAAGCCUGAUCCAGCCAUGCCGCGUGAGUGAUGAAGGCCCUAGGGUUGUAAAGCUCUUUGUGCGGGAAGAUAAGUGACGGUACCGCAAGAAUAAGCCCCGGCUAACUUCGUGCCAGCAGCCGC
rnacentral:rRNA from 1 species